AAGAAAUUAGUUAAAAAAUAACAUUAGAAUGUCAAACUGAAAUUAUUAAUAAUUAAUAUUUCUUA
rnacentral:tRNA from 1 species